rnacentral:rRNA from 1 species
UACGUAGGUGGCAAGCGUUGUCCGGAAUUAUUGGGCGUAAAGCGCGCGCAGGCGGUCCUUUAAGUCUGAUGUGAAAUCUCGCGGCUCAACCGCGAGCGGUCAUUGGAAACUGGGGAACUUGAGUGCAGAAGAGGAAAGUGGAAUUCCACGUGUAGCGGUGAAAUGCGUAGAGAUGUGGAGGAACACCAGUGGCGAAGGCGACUUUCUGGUCUGUAACUGACGCUGAGGCGCGAAAGCGUGGGGAGCAAACAGG